rnacentral:rRNA from 1 species
AGCGAACGCUGGCGGCAGGCUUAACACAUGCAAGUCGAGCGGGCCCUUCGGGGUCAGCGGCCGACGGGUGAGUAACACGUGGGAACGUACCCUUUGGUUCGGAAUAACGCUGGGAAACUAGCGCUAAUACCGGAUACGCCCUUUUGGGGAAAGGCUUGCUGCCGAAGGAUCGGCCCGCGUCUGAUUAGCUAGUUGGUGGGGUAAUGGCCUACCAAGGCGACGAUCAGUAGCUGGUCUGAGAGGAUGCUCAGCCACACUGGGACUGAGACACGGCCCAGACUCCUACGGGAGGCAGCAGUGGGGAAUAUUGGACAAUGGGCGCAAGCCUGAUCCAGCCAUGCCGCGUGAGUGAUGAAGGCCUUAGGGUUGUAAAGCUCUUUUGUCCGGGACGAUAAUGACGGUACCGGAAGAAUAAGCCCCGGCUAACUUCGUG